GACUUACGCCAUCUGUAACUCAUUUCGAUAGCCAAGACUGAAAACACCAUCAUGUUUGAUCUAGUUCAGUUAAUAAAAUUUUUCGCCAUAUUACGAACGUUAAACUCGAUGACCGGUUUAAACUUCGUGCGAGAACUUCAACGCCUCAAGAACAUAAACAGACUUUGUGUUAAGAGAAUCUCACAACAGAACUUGUGAAUGGGAUCUUUUAGCCAUCUAUUCUGGCCUGAAGCAAGAACUUAUAGCCAACAAAGAACUCAACAGCAAUCAUCAUCCAUACAAAUGCAACCUCUGCCCCUACACAACAUUUCUGCCCAC
rnacentral:misc_RNA from 1 species